rnacentral:rRNA from 1 species
AUUGAACGCUGGCGGCGUGCUUUACACAUGCAAGUCGAACGGUAACAGGCCGCAAGGUGCUGACGAGUGGCGAACGGGUGAGUAAUGCAUCGGAACGUGCCCGAUCGUGGGGGAUAACGCAGCGAAAGCUGCGCUAAUACCGCAUGCGAUCUGAGGAUGAAAGCGGGGGACCGUAAGGCCUCGCGCGAUCGGAGCGGCCGAUGUCAGAUUAGGUAGUUGGUGGGGUAAAGGCCCACCAAGCCGACGAUCUGUAGCUGGUCUGAGAGGACGACCAGCCACACUGGGACUGAGACACGGCCCAGACUCCUACGGGAGGCAGCAGCGGGGAAUUUUGGACAAUGGGCGAAAGCCUGAUCCAGCAAUGCCGCGUGCAGGAAGAAGGCCUUCGGGUUGUAAACUGCUUUUGUACGGAGCGAAAAGGUCCUUUCUAAUACAAGGGGCUCAUGACGGUACCGUAAGAAUAAGCACCGGCUAACUACGUGCCAGCAGCCGCAGUAACAC